AGUGAACGCUGGCGGUAGGCCUAACACAUGCAAGUCGAACGGCAGCACAGUAAGAGCUUGCUCUUACGGGUGGCGAGUGGCGGACGGGUGAGGAAUACAUCGGAAUCUACUUUUUCGUGGGGGAUAACGUCGGGAAACUUACGCUAAUACCGCAUACGACCUACGGGUGAAAGCAGGGGAUCUUCGGACCUUGCGCGAUUGAAUGAGCCGAUGUCGGAUUAGCUAGUUGGCGGGGUAAAGGCCCACCAAGGCGACGAUCCGUAGCUGGUCUGAGAGGAUGAUCAGCCACACUGGAACUGAGACACGGUCCAGACUCCUACGGGAGGCAGCAGUGGGGAAUAUUGGACAAUGGGCGCAAGCCUGAUCCAGCCAUACCGCGUGGGUGAAGAAGGCCUUCGGGUUGUAAAGCCCUUUUGUUGGGAAAGAAAAGCAGCAGGUUAAUACCACGCUGUUCUGACGGUACCCGAAGAAUAAGCACCGGCUAACUUCGUG
rnacentral:rRNA from 1 species